GGCACAACCUCCUAUUAAUGAAGAAGCAGCUAUAUAAGACGAAUACAGCUACAUAUCAAUCUUUACUUAGCACUAUGUAUUUAUCUAAAGAUCUGCAACGUGCUAUGGAGAAAACAAGAAAUGUCUGAAGCUUCAAACUUUGUCACGGCCAACAGUAUUUUAGCAGCAGCUUCCAAAUCACUGUCCUGAAAAUUUACAUUUUGCCUUUCCAGACACGAAAACCUCAUUACAAAAACAGAAGCUAAUGGUGUGAGUGAGAAGACUGGAUGGGAGAUAUGAUUUGCCCCAAAACCAUUUCCAUCUGGUUUGCUAUCUUUGCCUUGGGGAAGAUGGGAAGAACUGCUGGAAGUGCCUGCUUCACGCUGACAAAAGGCCUGUAUUCUUUGUCAAGCUUCAGAAGAGACCUUGCUCUUUCCUAUCUGCUGAUCAGAAAUCCAAUAAAAAUCCCUGCAUGUUAUCCCCGAGAUACCACUUUAUAGUUCCUAUACUACCAAAUUAAUCUCCCUAGCUUUAAAAUGCAUGAGCUAUCUUCUUAUUGAUUAAGCCACAUUUUGUCACAAUUCAGGGUCAGAUUACCCCUAUAUUGUGACUAAGGCAAUAAAUGUGAUAUCAUUAAAACAAUAGGAAAUGACUUGGUGUUUCCCUACAUAAUUAGGAUGCCAACAGUUACAGCUAGCAGGGUGAAUAAACAGACCCAUAUUCAAAGGGAUCUACCUUCUGUAAAUGGAGUGGUUUGAUA